UACGUAGGGGGCAAGCGUUAUCCGGAUUUACUGGGUGUAAAGGGAGCGUAGGCGGCAAGGUAAGCCAGAAGUGAAAGCCCGGGGCUCAACUCCGGGACUGCUUUUGAAACUGUAUGGCUAGAUUGCAGGAGAGGCAAGUGGAAUUCCUAGUGUAGCGGUGAAAUGCGUAGAUAUUAGGAGGAACACCAGUGGCGAAGGCGGCUUACUGGACUGUAACUGACGCUGAUGCUCGAAAGUGUGGGUAUCAAACAGG
rnacentral:rRNA from 1 species